rnacentral:rRNA from 1 species
GAUGAACGCUGGCGGCGUGCUUAACACAUGCAAGUCGAACGGAAUCCUUCGGGAUUUAGUGGCGGACGGGUGAGUAACACGUGAGAAUCUGCACUCAGGAUGGGGACAACAGCGGGAAACUGCUGCUAAUACCCAAUGUGCCGAAAGGUAAAAGAUUUAUCGCCUGAGAAUGAGCUCGCGGCCGAUUAGUUAGUUGGUGGGGUAAUGGCCUACCAAGACGGCGAUCGGUAGCUGGUCUGAGAGGAUGAGCAGCCACACUGGGACUGAGACACGGCCCAGACUCCUACGGGAGGCAGCAGUGGGGAAUUUUCCGCAAUGGGCGCAAGCCUGACGGAGCAAGACCGCGUGGGGGAGGAAGGCUCUUGGGUUGUAAACCCCUUUUCUCAGGGAAGAAGUUCUGACGGUACCUGAGGAAUCAGCCUCGGCUAACUCCGUGCCAGCCGCCGCGGUAAUAC